rnacentral:rRNA from 1 species
AGUCGAGAAUCAUUCGCAAUGGGCGAAAGCCUGACGAUGCGACGCUGUGUGAGCGAUGAAGGCCUUCGGGUUGUAAAGCUCUUUCGCCUGGGAACAAGGAAUAAUGAUUAAUAAUCAUUAAACUUGAGCGUACCAGGUAAAGAAGCACCGGCUAACUACGUGCCAGCAGCUGCGGUAAUACGUAGGGUGCAAGCAUUAAUCGGAAUUAUUGGGCGUAAAGGGCGCGUAGGCGGAUAAUCAAGUCUUGUGUGAAAUUUCGGGGCUCAACCUCGAAGCGGCACAGGAAACUAGUUAUCUAGAGGGUAGACGGAGAGAAUGGAAUUCCACAAGUAGCGGUGAAAUGCGUAGAUAUGUGGAAGAACACCGGUGGCGAAGGCGAUUCUCUAGUUUACUCCUGACGCUGAGGCGCGAAAGCAAGGGGAUCAAACAGGAUUAGAUACCCUGGUAGUCCUUGCCUUAAACUAUGUAUACUUGGUGUAACUGGACUCAACCCUAGUUGUGCCGAAGCUAACGCGAUAAGUAUACCGCCUGGGGAGUACGCUCGCAAGGGUGAAACUCAAAAGAAUUGACGGGGACCCGCACAAGCAGUGGAGCAUGUGGUUUAAUUCGAUGCAACGCGAAGAACCUUACCCAGGUUUGACAUGCACUUGACCGCUUCAGAAAUGAAGCUUCUCUUCGGAGCAGGUGCACAGGUGCUGCAUGGCUGUCGUCAGCUCGUGCCGUGAGGUGUUUGGUUAAGUCCAGCAACGAGCGCAACCCUUAUCAUUAGUUGCCAACACGUAACGGUGGGAACUCUAAUGAGACUGCCCGGGUUAACCGGGAGGAAGGUGAGGAUGACGUCAAGUCCGCAUGGCCCUUAUAUCUGGGGCUACACACGUGCUACAAUGGCAUACACAAUGGGCAGCGAAAUCGCGAGAUGAAGCAAAUCCCGCAAAGUAUGUCCCAGUUCAGAUUGUAGUCUGCAACUCGACUACAUGAAGACGGAAUUGCUAGUAAUGGCGUGUCAGCAACAACGCCGUGAAUACGUUCCCGGGUCUUGUACACACCGCCCGUCACAUCAUGGGAGUUGGUUUUACCCGAAGUCGAUGACUUAACCGCAAGGAGAGAGUCGCCUAAGGUAAGGCCGAUGACUGGGAUG